rnacentral:rRNA from 1 species
GUGAGGAAUAUUGCGCAAUGGAGGCAACUCUGACGCAGCCAUGCCGCGUGCAGGAAGAAGGCGCUACGCGUUGUAAACUGCUUUUAACCGGGAAGAAACCCCAGGACGUGUCCUGGGUUGACGGUACCGGAGGAAUUAGCACCGGCUAACUUCGUGCCAGCAGCCGCGGUAAUACGAAGGGUGCAAGCGUUAUCCGGAUUCAUUGGGUUUAAAGGGUGCGUAGGCGGAGCGUUAAGUCAGUGGUGAAAUCCUGCAGCUUAACUGUAGACUUGCCAUUGAUACUGGCGCUCUUGAGUGCGCUUGAAGUGGGCGGAAUGUGCCGUGUAGCGGUGAAAUGCUUAGAUAUGGCACAGAACACCAAUUGCGAAGGCAGCUCACUAAGGCGAUACUGACGCUGAGGCACGAAAGCGUGGGGAUCGAACAGGAUUAGAAACCCCAGUAGUCC